rnacentral:rRNA from 1 species
GACGAACGCUGGCGGCGUGCCUAAUACAUGCAAGUCGAACGCUUCUUUCCUCCCGAGUGCUUGCACUCAAUUGGAAAGAGGAGUGGCGGACGGGUGAGUAACACGUGGGUAACCUACCCAUCAGAGGGGGAUAACACUUGGAAACAGGUGCUAAUACCGCAUAACAGUUUAUGCCGCAUGGCAUAAGAGUGAAAGGCGCUUUCGGGUGUCGCUGAUGGAUGGACCCGCGGUGCAUUAGCUAGUUGGUGAGGUAACGGCUCACCAAGGCCACGAUGCAUAGCCGACCUGAGAGGGUGAUCGGCCACACUGGGACUGAGACACGGCCCAGACUCCUACGGGAGGCAGCAGUAGGGAAUCUUCGGCAAUGGACGAAAGUCUGACCGAGCAACGCCACGUGAGUGAAGAAGGUUUUCGGAUCGUAAAACUCUGUUGUUAGAGAAGAACAAGGACGUUAGUAACUGAACGUCCCCUGACGGUAUCUAACCAGAAAGGCACGGCUAACUACGUG